rnacentral:rRNA from 1 species
UAGCCGUAAACGAUACUCGCUAGGUGUCGGCCACGGUGCGACCGUUGUCGGUGCCGUAGGGAAGCCGUGAAGCGAGCCACCUGGGAAGUACGGCCGCAAGGCUGAAACUUAAAGGAAUUGGCGGGGGAGCACCACAACGGGUGGAGCUUGCGGUUUAAUUGGAUUCAACGCCGGAAAUCUUACCGGGACCGGCAGCAACAUGAAGGCCAGGCUGAAGACUUUGCCGGAUUAGCUGAGAGGUGGUGCAUGGCGUAGUCGUGU